GGGGAACUUUGGGGUGUGCUCGGAAAAGGCAGCGUGCGCACCUAGGGCGAGGGACUAGCUGGGAAGGGUGUGCCUGUGCUUGGGGAUGGGAGCAGGAAGUGUCUGGGACCUCGUCGCCCCCGCGGCGGUGUAUAAAGCCGGGCGGGCCGUCAGAGCGGAGCUUCAGAGCAGAGACAAGAGCCCAGAAAGGAGCAGAUGCUAGAUUUGCAAGAUCAGAAGCAGGUCUUGAUCCUCCUGCCCAGGAUGAACCAGACUUGAUGAUGCCACCUUCAGGAGCCACCACACUGUGUGACAGUGGGGCAUUUGGGCCGUCCCUGGGAAGAACAGAUGCGCUGCUGUCACACAUGUCCACCACCACAUGUGACAUUAGUGACGUUAUCCUGACGUCACAGGAUCCAAGAAUGAUGAUCUGUGAAGAGUUUUCCAAGGUCACCUACUUCUAACUCUUUUGAAAGAUUUAAAGACAUUGGGCCUGAAAACUUCAGUGACUUGUCCGGGGAAACGCAGUUUGUGACAGUUCACUCUCUCACAGCUGAAGCACAGUCCUCUGUACUCGCCCAGGAGCCACAGAGAGUGAACAUCCCUCAGGUCUUAAAAGAAGUCACCAAGAAGGUGGUGUGGCUCAAGUCUCCUGACUCCAGUUUACUAUUCCCCACAAUAAUGCUGGAAAACCACAUUGGAACGGGAAGACUCAUUCCAAGUACUGCUGUCACACCAGCAAGCUUCAAAGACUCUCUCCUGGCUUUGAUGAAGCAAGCUGCCAUGUUGGAGAGGCCUACAUGACAAGGAACUGAAGGUUGCCUCCAGCCAGCUCCAGCCAACAGCCAUCCAGGAAUUGAGGCUCUCAGUCCAACAGGCCUUGAGGAACUGCAUCCAGCCAGCAACUAUAGAAGUGAGCAAAGAAGGGUGUAUUUCCCCAGUCAAGCCUUCAGAUGAGACCCCAGCCCCAGCUGACACCUUAAUUGCAGCCUUGUGAGAGA
rnacentral:lncRNA from 1 species